rnacentral:pre_miRNA from 2 species
CCACCCGUCAAAUCGGUUGUGAUUUAUGUUUUAUGAAUUUUCAUAUCACAGCCAUAUUUGACAAGUCGGG